AUACGUAGGGAGCAAGCGUUAUCCGGAGUUUACUGGGUGUAAAGGGCGCGUAGGCGGGACGACAAGUCAGGUGUGAAAUCUAUGGGCUCAACCCAUAAACUGCACUUGAAACUGUUAGUUCUUGAGUGAUGGAGAGGCAAGUGGAAUUCCUAGUGUAGCGGUGAAAUGCGUAGAUAUUAGGAGGAACACCAGUGGCGAAGGCGACUUGCUGGACAUUAACUGACGCUGAGGCGCGAAAGCGUGGGGAGC
rnacentral:rRNA from 1 species